rfam:Desulfuromonas acetoxidans DSM 684 ctg47, whole genome shotgun sequence.
CGCGGGGUGGAGCAGUUUGGUAGCUCGUCGGGCUCAUAACCCGAAGGUCGGAGGUUCAAAUCCUUCCCCCGCAA